rnacentral:tRNA from 1 species
GCCGCAAUAGCUCAGAUGGUAGAGCACGACAUUCGUAAUGUCGGGGUCUCCGGUUCAAUUCCGGAUUGCGGCACCA